AUUGAACGCUGGCGGCAGGCCUAACACAUGCAAGUCGAGCGGAGCGGCGGACGGGUGCGUAAUGCCUAUGAAUCUGCCUGGUCGUGGGGGGUAACGUCCGGAAACGGGCGCUAAUACCGCAUACUCUCAGAUGAGCCUAGGUCGGAUUAGCUAGUUGGUGGGGUAAAGGCCUACCAAGGCGACGAUCCGUAACUGGUCUGAGAGGAUGAUCAGUCACACUGGAACUGAGACACGGCCCAGACUCCUACGGGAGGCAGCAGUGGGGAAUAUUGGACAAUGGGCGAAAGCCUGAUCCAGCCAUGCCGCGUGUGUGAAGAAGGUCCUCGGAUUGUAAAGCACUUUAAGUUGGGAGGCGUUACCAACAGAAGAAGCACCGGCUAACUCCGUGCCAGCAGCCGCGGUAAUUC
rnacentral:rRNA from 1 species